GUAGUAUUCCCUCCGUCCCAAAAUUCUUGUCUUACAUUUGUUUAGAUACGGAUGUAUCUAACACUAAAAUGUAACUAGAUACAUCCGUAUUUAGACAAAUUUAAGACAAGAAUUUUGGGACUGAGGGAGUACAAA
rfam:Triticum aestivum genome assembly, contig: Triticum_aestivum_CS42_TGACv1_scaffold_374594_5AL